CAUAAUGCACUUAACUGAUAUAUAACUUAAUGCUUUUAAUAUUUAUUUUGUUCAACGAGUAUAAGUUGUUAAUGUAUUACAUGUACCUAUUGAAAGAUGAUAACCCAGCUGAACGCUUUAGAAUUGUAUGUUGAUUUGAGUCAGUGCAUACUUAGCUGGUAUGCACAACGUUUGUCUUCAGAUUUCCUAUAGAUACAAUGUAUAACAACUGCAUCAAUAUUGCUGUGUGUAGCAGUUCAUAAAAAUGUUAAUUUCCACAAAAUCGUUACUCUUUUGGACUGUUUUUUUUUUUUAGAUUUUAAAUUAUAAAUGAAUACAGAUAAGUAUAGAUAUAUGCAUAUAAAUUAAAUUUGUUUUCGUUUUCUGUUUAAUAAUCAAGUUCUCAUUUCCUUUACAUUAGAAAUCUGUUAAUAAUGCUAAAAAAAUAAAAAGACAAUCAUGCUUCUUUAACUUUGCAUUUAUUUUGUUAGAGAAAACGAGUGUAGAAUUAAGAAUGUCUUUUAUAGAAUGCGAUGACCGUUACUCAAUAUCAAAGUGUUUAUGACGAUUUUUGUUGGAUCAAUGAGUCCCCCUUUGAAUCUAAAGUGUACAAGAUAACAAAUCAGAAACGAUGCUAGUGGUUGUUACUUGAUAGGUUUCCAAAGAAGACUGCUAGCGCCAUAAUGCUUUAUGAACUAAAAAGUAGUGAAAUGAAGGGAACAUACCAGUAUGGCGGUAGUCAUCAUUUAAUUGUAACCUCAUUUAAGACUCAUUUUGUAUCAAUUAUUUAAAC